UGUCCAUAAGACCACUAAUAUAGGCCAAACCAAAAGAUAGCACAUAACAUAUAAUUAAUCCAUAUAUUGUCCAUAUGUAUGUAGUAUAAGUCCAAAUAUCUAACAAUCUCCCACUUGGACUAUACAUUCAUGCAUAUGUACAAACUUUAGCAUUAUUUGUUACAUUAUAACUUUAUGAGCUCAGAAUUGCUAUCAUAAUAAAAU
rnacentral:lncRNA from 1 species